UGAGGCUUAUGAUGAUUAAGAAUUGCCUACAUUGUUAGACCUUUAGUCUGAUGAAAAUAGAAAUGCAAAUCUGAGGCCUAA
rfam:Gossypium hirsutum cultivar TM-1 unplaced genomic scaffold scaffold4073.1, whole genome shotgun sequence